rnacentral:RNase_P_RNA from 1 species
AUAACGGAUAACGUCCGCCGAGGGUGACCUCCGGGAAAGUGCAACAGAAAUAAACCGCCGCUUAUGCGGUAAGGAUGGAAAGGCGAGGUAAGAGCUCACCCGAACCUAUGGUAACAUAGGCUCGCUGUAAACCCUAUCCGAAGCAACACCUUGAAUUCCGACUUUUGUCGGCGGGUUGCCCGCCCGUUUUCAUGGUGGCAGAGCUACGGCUCAAACUGCGGGGUAACUCGCAGUGAAGAUAGAUGAUUGCUGCGCCGUUUUCGGCGUACAGAACCCGGCUUACAAGUUCAGUCAUUUU